UGGGCUGGAGACACUGCAGGAGAAACCAGAGGAGACAGGAGUUAAAGGACAUGCAAAGAGUCACAAGGAGUAAAGUUCAGAACGUUAUACCAACGACGAAGGCCAGGAGAUGCGUCUGUACCGCUAGGAAGGGUAGACAAUACUCAGGCGCUGAGACUGAGGGCUGCAGGCUUCUUAAAGUCCCUUGAUUGGAGAUGAGGAGCAGGUGUGUCGUCUCACUCAGCCUCAGCGCCGGGGGAGGGGAGGAAGCUCUGGAAAAGAGUACAGCCAGACCAGGCAAACAGGGAAAAACAGGAAGUCCAGCCAAAAUAACACAGGAUGAGGAGGCGUCUCACCACAGUACCCCCCCCCUUAACGAACGCCUC